CUAAUAUGGCAGAAUAGUGCAUUGGACUUAAGACCCAAAUAUAAAGCAUCAGCUUUUUUUAGAA
rnacentral:tRNA from 1 species